CCAGUAGUCAUAUGCAUGUCUCAAAGAUUAAGCCAUGCAUGUCUAAGUAUAAGCAAUCAUACUGUGAAACUGCGAAUGGCUCAUUAAAUCAGUUACCGUUUAUUUGAUAGUACCUUUACCUGGAUAACCGUGGUAAUUCUAGAGCUAAUACAUGCUAAAAACCCCGACUUCGGAAGGGGUGUAUUUAUUAGAUAAAAAACCAAUGCCCUCUGGGCUCCUUGGUGAUUCAUAAUAACUUAACGAAUCGCAUGGCCUUGCGCCGGCGAUGGUUCAUUCAAAUUUCUGCCCUAUCAACUUUCGAUGGUAAGAUAGAGGCUUACCAUGGUCUUAACGGGUAACGGAGAAUUAGGGUUCGAUUCCGGAGAGGGAGCCGGAGGAACGGCUACCACAUCCAAGGAAGGCAGCAGGCGCGCAAAUUACCCAAUGCUAAUUCAGCGAGGUAGUGACAAUAAAUACCGAUACGGGGCUCUUUCGGGUCUCGUAAUUGGAAUGAGUACAAUCUAAAUCCCUUAACGAGGAACAAUUGGAGGGCAAGUCUGGUGCCAGCAGCCGCGGUAAUUCCAGCUCCAAUAGCGUAUAUUAAAGUUGUUGCCGUUAAAAAGCUCGUAGUUGAACCUUGGACCUGGCUGAUCUGUCCUCCUAAUCGAGCGCACGGAUUCGGUCGGGUCUUUCCUUCUGGGGAGCCCUAUGCCCUUCACUGGGUGUAGUGGGGAACCAGGACUUUUACCUUGAAAAAAUUAGAGUGUUCAAAGCAGGCCUUUGCUCGAAUACAUUAGCAUGGAAUAAUAGAAUAGGACAUCGGUUCUAUUUUGUUGGUUUCUAGGACCGCUGUAAUGAUUAAUAGGGAUAGUCGGGGGCGUCAGUAUUCAAUUGUCAGAGGUGAAAUUCUUGGAUUUAUUGAAGACUAACUACUGCGAAAGCAUUCGCCAAGGAUGUUUUCAUUAAUCAGUGAACGAAAGUUAGGGGAUCGAAGACGAUCAGAUACCGU
rnacentral:rRNA from 1 species